AAAUCUUCAACAUUUUCGAGCUAUGGACCUUCGGCAGUAAACCUGUUCUUUGGUUUGGUCCACAGACAAUUUAUUUUAUAACCUAAACAACUUGGUUUAGGAGCGUCUAGUCUUUUAUCAUCCCUCAAUAAUAGAUGGAUAUAGAAACGUUCUAGCCACCUUGAGCUAAUAAUUUGAAUACGGGUGUAUUACCGAAGAAACAUUGUAGAUUAUUAAAAUUGUUUAUGAAACUUAUUCGUUCCAGAGAUUCGCUGUUUUUAAACGCAUGUCUAAUCGAAAAUAUCCAUCAUGAAAGAAUCUAAAACUUACCCAUUGUAGUGUGCCUCUUUUGAAAUUAUCCCACAAAUGUUCGCUACUACAAAUUUUAAGUCUACGCAGGAGAACCUAGUACUCAACCCAAGGGCAAAGGAUCGCAAAGUAUGCAAGAUGUGCACAUACACAGCCACUGACCGCGCUGCUCUCCAGUCCAGAGCUAUCAUUAAAAUACGAAUGCUUUCUAGAACUUUAAGUGAUAAUCAUGGUUUAGCGUAAAAAAUUGGUUGGAAAUCAAUGGUGAAAUGUAGAAACAGUUAAAAAAUAAAAUAUUUGAAAGUUUCGAAAAUGUGGAAACGCCGUUUUUGGUGCGGUUCAUUGUACGCCCGCGAUCAGUCAAGCAAGAACGUGGAAAUGACUGACGAAGGCCUUUGAUAUAUGUAUACCGUAUAAUAUAUAAUAUAACAGUUAGCGUAG